rnacentral:rRNA from 1 species
UACGUAGGGUGCAAGCGUUAAUCGGAAUUACUGGGCGUAAAGCGUGCGCAGGCGGUUGUGCAAGACCGAUGUGAAAUCCCCGGGCUCAACCUGGGAAUGGCAUUGGUGACUGCACGGCUAGAGUGUGUCAGAGGGGGUAGAAUUCCACGUGUAGCAGUGAAAUGCGUAGAGAUGUGGAGGAAUACCGAUGGCGAAGGCAGCCCCCUGGGAUAACACUGACGCUCAUGCACGAAAGCGUGGGGAGCAAACAGG